rnacentral:rRNA from 1 species
AACGAACGCUGGCGGCAUGCCUAACACAUGCAAGUCGAACGAGACCUUCGGGUCUAGUGGCGCACGGGUGCGUAACGCGUGGGAACCUGCCCUUAGGUUCGGAAUAACUCCCCGAAAGGGGUGCUAAUACCGGAUAAUGUCUUCGGACCAAAGAUUUAUCGCCUUUGGAUGGGCCCGCGUUGGAUUAGCUAGUUGGUAGGGUAAAAGCCUACCAAGGCGACGAUCCAUAGCUGGUCUGAGAGGAUGAUCAGCCACACUGGGACUGAGACACGGCCCAGACUCCUACGGGAGGCAGCAGUGGGGAAUAUAGGACAAUGGGCGAAAGCCUGAUCCAGCAAUGCCGCGUGAGUGAUGAAGGCCUUAGGGUUGUAAAGCUCUUUUACCCGGGAUGAUAAUGACAGUACCGGGAGAAUAAGCGCCGGCUAACUCCGUG